rnacentral:rRNA from 1 species
UGGGGAAUAUUGGACAAUGGGCGAAAGCCUGAUCCAGCCAUGCCGCGUGUGUGAAGAAGGUCUUCGGAUUGUAAAGCACUUUAAGUUGGGAGGAAGGGCAGUAAGCGAAUACCUUGCUGUUUUGACGUUACCGACAGAAUAAGCACCGGCUAACUCUGUGCCAGCAGCCGCGGUAAUACAGAGGGUGCAAGCGUUAAUCGGAAUUACUGGGCGUAAAGCGCGCGUAGGUGGUUCGUUAGGUUGACUGUGAAAGCCCCGGGCUCAACCUGGGAACUGCAUCCAAAACUGGCGAGCUAGAGUAGGGCAGAGGGUGGUGGAAUUUCCUGUGUAGCGGUGAAAUGCGUAGAUAUAGGAAGGAACACCAGUGGCGAAGGCGACCAACUUGGCUCAUACUGACACUGAGGUGCGAAAGCGUGGGGAGCAAACAGG